GAGACAGAAUGAAUUCCGUUCCGCAUCCACAACUUUAUUUUGCCUUUGAUUACAAUAAAUGCAACAUGUAGGUACAAUAAUUUGAAUUUUUGAGUUUAACAUAGCAUGGGGUGAGUUUGGGGCUUGGACAUAGUUAGUUAGUAUUAAUUUUAAGUUAGUAUUUUGUAGGCAUGGAUUUCAGACAUUGACAUGAUUGGUAACAUUAUCAGCUUGCAUGUUUGUUUACAUUUUUAAAAUGAAAUUAUUUUGCAAUAAACAUUAAAAUUUUAGACUAACAUUGUUUUAUUUAUUUCUUUUCAGGUACCCCCAUCAGAAGGACAGGAGCACCGCGUCGCAGAGAGCCUCAGGAGUCAUCACAGCAUCCCUCGCUGCCGUCAUUUGAUAAAAUUGCCGUUCAUCAGGAAGAGGAGUUGCAAUGAGUUUCCCCACGCAGCUGUCAUUGCAUUUUUUGAGAGCUGCUGUCUAUAUGGUGGUGGAGUCGUCUCGUGGCAAAGCAGUCGUCAGAGAGGAUUGUGGCUCGGUCUGUCACCGAAGGAAGCCAGGUGCGCCGCGUCUUGUGGCCAUAGCGUCAGGAUUGGCAGCUUGGGGCCGCCGUUUUGAGAUUUGUAGCAGAGAGCCGCCGCAACGGAAUAGCCAUGGAAAUGGAUGCAAAAAUAGUAUUUGGUACAUUGAGUGGAAUUUAAUUUAAGGUACUUAAAGAGGAAGCUAGUCUGGGGUGAGUAUUUUAUUGCUUUUAUAAUUGCGUUGGUUUAUUUGCUUUUCAGGUACGUUUUGUAUGGGCUAAAUUGGAGGCCCUUGUUGUUGUGUUAUUGCAGCUGGAAUGCCGCGCUUUUGGAGUCGUCAAGUUGCAAUUAGAUAAGUAUUAUAUUUUAAGUAUAUAUUUCCCAGUAAUAGCUUGUGUUCCCUUGUUUCAAUAGUUGGAGUUUUUGAAGCUGGAGCUGCGUGCUUGUGGCCAGCAGGAUGGAGCCGUCUAUUAGCACCUGCUACUUGUCUGGCCGGUUUGUUAUUAUUUAUGUGUCCUUGAGUAGUUUUUGUAUCGCAUUCUCAUUUAUUUUCCUUUCAUUACAGGUCAGCGGAGAAUUCGUUGGAGAUACAAAACUGAGGAAAAAUAUACAAUUUAAGGACAAGUUUUGCAGUGAAUUGAUGUGGCAUCAGCGCCACGCACAUGAUCCUUAUUUGUUCUAUGGCAUCAGGAGGUGGAGACGGCAUCGUAAUAUUGUCAAUUUUUUGUGUUAAGAGGCAAAAAGUUGGCUUUUUUGUUUUACGUUUGGUGGAGCCGUCUCCUCUUGUCUAAUGCAUAGGAUGUGGGUAAGCUGUCUGCAGUGGGUGAGGUAUUUGCUUUAUUUGAUUUUAUUUGUUUAUUUAAUUUGUUGUUGAUUGUUUGCUUUUAGGUUUUAGCGUCAACUCGCUGUUGGCGCUCUUCAAGCUGGAGAUUUAUGGGAGCAGCAGAGUGUCCUGAUCGACGAGGUGGAAGCGUUGUUGGCCCGUCUUUUGCAGAGCAUCUUAUUACUUUGUAGGUGGAGGUACGGAGACAGAAUGAAUUCCGUUCCGCAUCCACAACUUUAUUUUGCCUUUGAUUACAAUAAAUGCAACAUGUAGGUACAAUAAUUUGAAUUUUUGAGUUUAACAUAGCAUGGGGUGAGUUUGGGGCUUGGACAUAGUUAGUUAGUAUUAAUUUUAAGUUAGUAUUUUGUAGGCAUGGAUUUCAGACAUUGACAUGAUUGGUAACAUUAUCAGCUUGCAUGUUUGUUUACAUUUUUAAAAUGAAAUUAUUUUGCAAUAAACAUUAAAAUUUUAGACUAACAUUGUUUUAUUUAUUUCUUUUCAGGUACCCCCAUCAGAAGGACAGGAGCACCGCGUCGCAGAGAGCCUCAGGAGUCAUCACAGGUUAUUUGUUUUUGGUUUCAGCAUCCCUCGCUGCCGUCAUUUGAUAAAAUUGCCGUUCAUCAGGAAGAGGAGUUGCAAUGAGUUUCCCCACGCAGCUGUCAUUGCAUUUUUUGAGAGCUGCUGUCUAUAUGGUGGUGGAGUCGUCUCGUGGCAAAGCAGUCGUCAGAGAGGAUUGUGGCUCGGUCUGUCACCGAAGGAAGCCAGGUGCGCCGCGUCUUGUGGCCAUAGCGUCAGGAUUGGCAGCUUGGGGCCGCCGUUUUGAGAUUUGUAGCAGAGAGCCGCCGCAACGGAAUAGCCAUGGAAAUGGAUGCAAAAAUAGUAUUUGGUACAUUGAGUGGAAUUUAAUUUAAGGUACUUAAAGAGGAAGCUAGUCUGGGGUGAGUAUUUUAUUGCUUUUAUAAUUGCGUUGGUUUAUUUGCUUUUCAGGUACGUUUUGUAUGGGCUAAAUUGGAGGCCCUUGUUGUUGUGUUAUUGCAGCUGGAAUGCCGCGCUUUUGGAGUCGUCAAGUUGCAAUUAGAUAAGUAUUAUAUUUUAAGUAUAUAUUUCCCAGUAAUAGCUUGUGUUCCCUUGUUUCAAUAGUUGGAGUUUUUGAAGCUGGAGCUGCGUGCUUGUGGCCAGCAGGAUGGAGCCGUCUAUUAGCACCUGCUACUUGUCUGGCCGGUUUGUUAUUAUUUAUGUGUCCUUGAGUAGUUUUUGUAUCGCAUUCUCAUUUAUUUUCCUUUCAUUACAGGUCAGCGGAGAAUUCGUUGGAGAUACAAAA